UUGAACGUUCGGGUUCCGCGGGACGGGGCCGCCCCGCGAGGGACGGCGCCGCCCCGGGGCUCGUGAUAUCUCAUCUCGCCGCCCGUCGCGAGGCGGACGGAGGGAUGGAUGAGGUUACCUGGAAAAAAUCGGGGCGAUCUAGGCGGGCGAACCUCGCCAACGAACGAUCGGACAUGGGAUAACGGAAGAGGGCGUCGGCUCGACUUCGUCGGUUCCUCGGGCCGAGGCACGUACGGUGAAUAGGGGACGGUCGGGGCCGCCCGUACCGGGUCGUGAGAGGUGAAAUUCUAGGAUCGACCCGAGACGAACCGCCGCGAAAGCAUUCGGCAAGGACGCUUUCAUUAAUCAAGAACGAAAGUCGGGGGAUCGAAGACGAUCAGAUACCGUCGUAGUCCCGACCGUAAACGAUGCCGACCGAGGGCCCGGAGGAGUUACGUACGACCCUCCGGGCCCUCCCGCGAGAAAUCAGGAGUAUUCGGGUUCC
rnacentral:rRNA from 1 species